AACGUAGGAGACAAACGUUAUCCGGAGUUACUGGGCGUAAAGGGCGUGCAGGCGGUCAUUUAAGUUCGGCGUGAAAGCUCCUGGCUAAACCGGGAGAGGUCGUCGGAGACUGGAUGGCUAGAGGGUGAUAGAGGCGGGUGGAAUUCCGGGUGUAGUGGUGAAAUGCGUAGAGAUCCGGAGGAACACCAGUGGCGAAGGCGACCCGCUGGGUCACACCUGACACUGAGACGCGACAGCAUGGGGAGCGAACGGG
rnacentral:rRNA from 1 species